rnacentral:rRNA from 1 species
CCCGCUGAACUUAAGCAUAUCAAUAAGCGGAGGAAAAGAAACCAACAGGGAUUGCCUUAGUAACGGCGAGUGAAGCGGCAAAAGCUCAAAUUUGAAAUCGGCCCCCAGGUCG